rnacentral:rRNA from 1 species
GGGAGGUAGUGACAAUAAAUAACAAUACGGGGUUCUUUCGGAUUUCGUAAUUGGAAUGAGUACAAUUUAAAUCUCUUAACGAGGAACAAUUGGAGGGCAAGUCUGGUGCCAGCAGCCGCGGUAAUUCCAGCUCCAAUAGCGUAUAUUAAAGUUGCUGCAGUUAAAAAGCUCGUAGUUGAAUUUCGGGACCAUCAUGUCGGUCGUGCCUCGGUACGUACUGGUAUUGUUGGUUUCUCCCUUCUGACGAACCAUGAUGUCAUUUAUUUGGUGUUGUGGGGAAUCAGGACUGUUACUUUGAAAAAUUAGAGUGUUUAAAGCAGGCUCACGCUUGAAUACAUUAGCAUGGAAUAAUGAAAUAGGACGUUUGAUUCUAUUUUGUUGGUUUCUAGGAUCGACGUAAUGAUUAAUAGGGAUAGUUGGG